GACGAACGCUGGCGGCGUGCCUAAUACAUGCAAGUCGAACGCUUCUUUCCUCCCGAGUGCUUGCACUCAAUUGGAAAGAGGAGUGGCGGACGGGUGAGUAACACGUGUGUAACCUACCCAUCAGAGGGGGAUAACACUUGGAAACAGGUGCUAAUACCGCCUAACAGUUUAUGCCGCAUGGCAUAAGAGUGAAAGGCGCUUUCGGGUGUCGUUGAUGGAUGGACCCGCGGUGCAUUAGCUAGUUGGUGAGGUAACGGUCCAGCAAGGGCACGAUGCAUAGCCGACCUGAGAGGGUGAUCGGCCACACUGGGACUGAGACACGGCCCAGACUCCUACGGGAGGCAGCAGUAGGGAAUCUUCGGCAAUGGGCGAAGGUCUGACCGAGCAACGCCGCGUGAGUGAAGAAGGUUUUCGGAUCGUAAAACUCUGUUGUUAGAGAAGAACAAGGACGUUAGUAACUGAACGUCCCCUGACGGUAUCUAACCAGAAAGCCACGGCUAACUACGUG
rnacentral:rRNA from 1 species